CUUCAACCUAAGGAUUUGCGGUGAUAUGUUAAAACAAUUGUUAAACAAUUAUUAAAAGCACUGCUGCUGCGGCUCCCCGUUUAGCGCCAUUGCUUCCACUGUUCUUUUGAAUAGACGCAGUGCAUUCUGGGGCAGUUUAGUACGUCUAGUAAGCUAGCGAUGCUUACUCAAAAUCUUUCCGGAAGUAGAAGACAUUCGGAUACUACUCGCUUACCUAAACUCGCUUACUAAGUUCUCGCUUACUCAAUUUGACGUCAUAGUUAGUAGGAGUAGUAAGCAAGUACGCGGUUUCGAACACACCCACUGACUGGCUGUCACGGUGACACAGUGACACUUGACAGGAUGGUUGACAACUGUUGUGCACCAGGUUGCCGAAACAGACGAGGGAAGAAGAAGGGAUGUUCGUUUUAUCGCAUCCCAAAAGAUGCAGCGAGGAGGGAAAUGUGGUUAAGUGCUAUUAAAAGAGCCAGGAGCCAACAGAACAACAGUGAAAGGUGGGACCCGCCGGCCGUUGGAUUUCGGUUGUGCAGCGAACACUUCAUAUCAGCUAUCUUCCGUCUCCAGAGAAGAGGAGACGGAAAGCUAGACUGGAGGUGUUCAACAGGAGGCAGAAGGCGAAAUUGCAGAAAAUAGAGCAGGCAAAGCUAUGUGCAGAAGCCACCCGUCUAAGGGCAUCAACUGAUUGUCCCCAAAACAAUGCAGCAACAGAAGACCAAACCACAGAGCCCUCCAUCACAGAAGACCAAGUCAUAGAGCCCCCCAUCACAGAUCCUUUGGAAGACUCAGGUGAUGAAGAUCCUGUCCAGCCUGAUCCAGCAACACCACCAUGCACCUCUGAAACCUGUAGUAAGCGCAUCAAGUCUCUUGAGCUAGAAUGCCAAGCUCUAAGAACUGAAAAUAUGUUGUUAAGGGACAAAAUAAGUAGGAAGACCCUGACAGAGAUAAGUUUGCAAAAUGAUGAUAAAAAGGUGAAUGUCCUCACUGGGUUAGCAACCUAUACAUGUCUGAUGACCAUCUUUCAAUAUUUGACUCCAUUUCUCAAACUUAAGGCAUCGAUAACAUGUUUUCAACAAUACAUGUUGACUUUGAUGAAGCUGCGAAUGAACUUGACAUUUGACUUUUUAGGUUUUUAUUUUGGCAUUGACCCAACUACUGUCUCCAGACACUUCAAACACUGUGUUAAUUUGAUUUAUUGUAGACUGGUGCCAAGUCUAGUGGUGUGGCCUGAAAGAGAAUCUCUAAGAACAUCUCUUCCAUAUGUAUUUAGAAAUGGCGGCUACGAGAAGACUGUAUCAUAGAUUGUUUUGAAAUAUUUCUAGAGAAACCAAGUAGAUUGCGACCCAGUGCACAGUGUUACUCAAAAUACAAAUCACAUCACACCAUGAAAUAUUUAAUUGCCUUUUGCCCUCAAGGUACAAUUUCUUUCAUUUCUACUGGAUGGGGAGGUCGCACCAGUGAUAAGUUCAUUACAGAACACAGUAAUUUUUUACCCAAUAUUCUCCCAGGAGAUGUUGUUUUGGCAGACAGGGGGUUUCUGGUGAAAGAGUCUGUUGAAAGGUGUCAGGCUGAAUUAAAAAUUCCAGCAUUUACUCGUGGGAAAAUACAGUUAGAUCCUGUUGACAUAGAGAAUACAAGAUCUCUAGCCUCUUUAAGAAUUCACAUUGAAAGAGUCAUAGGAGUACUUCGUCAGAAAUAUACUAUCUUACAAAACACUGUGCCAAUAACUUUCACAGAUAUAGAGACAGAAAAUGAUGUUACUUAUCUUGAUAAAAUUGUGAGUAUGUUGUGGACUAACAAAUGUACCAGAUUCUGUGGUGCCCUUUGAGUGAUGAAUUUGUGUGCCAACAGAAAAUAAACCUUUUUGAUUGCUUCUCA